rnacentral:rRNA from 1 species
GACAGAGGUGGCGAGCGUUGUUCGGAAUUACUGGGCUUAAAGGGCGCGUAGGCGGUGGAGUAAGUCUGAGGUGGAAUGCCACAGCCCAACUGUGGAACUGCCUUGGAAACUGCCUCACUUGAGUUAGACAGGGGAAGGCGGAAUUCCUGGUGUAGCGGUGAAAUGCGUAGAUAUCAGGAGGAAGGCCAGUGGUGAAGACGGCCUUCUGGGUCUUAACUGACGCUGAGGCGCGAAAGCGUGGGGAGCAAACAGG